UACGGGGGGGGCCAGCGUUGUUCGGAAUUACUGGGCGUAAAGGGCUCGUAGGCGGCCAACUAAGUCGGACGUGAAAUCCCCAGGCUCAACCUGGGAACUGCGUCUGAUACUGGAUGGCUUGAAUCCGGGAGAGGGAUGCAGAAUUCCAGGUGUAGCGGUGAAAUGCGUAGAUAUCUGGAGGAAUACCGGUGGCGUAGGCGGCAUCCUGGACCGGCAUUGACGCUGAGGAGCGAAAGCCAGGGGAGCAAACGGG
rnacentral:rRNA from 1 species